rnacentral:rRNA from 1 species
AACGAACGCUGGCGGCAUGCCUAACACAUGCAAGUCGAACGAGACCUUCGGGUCUAGUGGCGCACGGGUGCGUAACGCGUGGGAACCCGCCUUUAGGUUCGGAAUAACACAGAGAAAUUUGAGCUAAUACCGGAUAAUGUCUUCGGACCAAAGAUUUAUCGCCUUUAGAUGGGCCCGCGUUGGAUUAGCUAGUUGGUGGGGUAAAGGCCUACCAAGGCGACGAUCCAUAGCUGGUCUGAGAGGAUGAUCAGCCACACUGGGACUGAGACACGGCCCAGACUCCUACGGGAGGCAGCAGUGGGGAAUUUUGGACAAUGGGCGCAAGCCUGAUCCAGCAAUGCCGCGUGCAGGAUGAAGGCCUUCGGUUGGUAACUAGC